GGCUGCCCGUGGCCUUGAAGGGGACGCUGCUAGCAGUGUGGUCGGGAGCACGAGGCUCCAGUCUGAGAGCAGAGAAGAGAGAGUGGUUCUUACAUUGAUCUAAACCAGGCAUGAGCUCCAGAGAGGACAGCGAGGCCAGGAUGCCUGGUGGUAGUGGCCUCAGCUGGUGGUCACCAGAGCCGCUGUGAUGGGCCCUGGGCUUGACAGCUGGAGAUCAGAGGAAGGCUCACCAGAGUGACGACACAAGGCUGGAACGGAGGAAAUCAGGUCUCCCCCUCAGUGGUGGGCCAAGCCUGGUAAUCACUGUGAGACAAUGAGAGGAGCCGACCUCAUCAGGAGGAGCCCGGUUGGGACUGAAGAUUCAAUCAGACGGCAGGCGGGGCGAUGGGGGAAGCAGGCCCCAGCCCACUGCCUCCCAUCAGGGAAGGAGAGCGCUCAAAGGGCUCUGAAUUAAAAUCAA